UACGAAGGGGGCUAGCGUUGCUCGGAAUCACUGGGCGUAAAGGGUGCGUAGGCGGGUCUUUUAAGUCAGGGGUGAAAUCCUGGAGCUCAACUCCAGAACUGCCUUUGAUACUGAAGAUCUUGAGUUCGGGAGAGGUGAGUGGAACUGCGCGUGUAGAGGUGAAAUUCGUAGAUGUCGGGAGGAACACCAGUGGCGAAGGCGGCGAUCUGGGCUGAUACUGACGCUGAGGUGCGAAAGCGUGGGGAGCAAACAGG
rnacentral:rRNA from 1 species